rnacentral:rRNA from 1 species
UACGUAGGUGGCAAGCGUUGUCCGGGCUUACUGGGUGUAAAGGGCGUGUAGGCGGGACUGCAAGUCAGAUGUGAAAUUCCCAGGCUCAACCUGGGAGCUGCAUGUGAAACUGUGGUUAUUGAGUGCUGAAGAGGUAAGAGGAAUUCCUAGUGUAGCGGUGAAAUGCGUAGAUAUUAUGAAGAACACCAGUGGCGAAGGCGGCUAUCUGGACCGUUACUGACGCUGAGGUGCGAAAGCGUGGGGAGCAAACAGG